rnacentral:rRNA from 1 species
GAUGAACGCUAGCGGCAGGCUUAAUACAUGCAAGUCGAGGGACAGCACAGGUAGCAAUACUGGGUGGUAACCGGCAAACGGGUGCGGAACACGUACACAACCUUCCUUUAAGUGGGGGAUAGCCCAGAGAAAUUUGGAUUAAUACCCCGUAAUAUAGUUGAAUGGCAUCAUUUGAUUAUUAUAGCUACGGCGCUUAAUGAUGGGCGUGCGGCUGAUUAGAUAGUUGGCGGGGUAACGGCCCACCAAGUCUACGAUCAGUAGCUGAUGUGAGGGCAUGAUCAGCCACACGGGCACUGAGACACGGGCCCGACUCCUACGGGAGGCAGCAGUAAGGAAUAUUGGUCAAUGGACGCAAGUCUGAACCAGCCAUGCCGCGUGAAGGAUUAAGGUCCUCUGGAUUGUAAACUUCUUUUAUUUGGGACGAAAAAGGGCCUUUCUAGGUCAACUGACGGUACCAGAUGAAUGAGCACCGGCUAACUCCGUGCCAGCCGCCGCCGUAACAC